GCGUGUGUGUGUUCUUCUUGUUAGCUGCCCUCAAGCUUUUCCGGAAAGAGUCACAGAACAAACAACACAAGGUACAUGAAAUAAAAGGCCUAACCGUGGCCCUACAGCAGGAACAACCUGGUCUGGUCGGGGAGAGAGACCCGCCCACAGGAAAGCUAAGAGCUCCAUUUACAGAGAGAGCCCAAGCUCUUAACCCCUGAGAAACAAGCCUAAGACGUUUCUCCGGUUUUGCUUCCUGGGAAGGUCCUGGACACGCCGGCAAGAGGCAGAGAGUACCCUGUUGUUCGUGAGUACCUCAUCUCCGACUGACAUGAUGUCUACUGGGACACUGUAGAAAGCCCUCUUCCUUAAGAUGAAGCCCACACAGAUCUCCAACAGCCAGAAUUUUCCAUGAGGCCUGCAUCAGUGUACCUUGGAGAAAUCAUGGGCUUGUGUGUUUUCGGGCCUUUGCCCUGAAGCCCCAGCUGCCAUGUGGAGAGCCGUGUGCGUGCUCCCUCUGCCAGCCCCAGUCGAUCCCAGACACAGGAGCGUGUGAGAUCCCAGGAAAUUCCAAUCUGCUAUUGUCAAGGAACCCCCUCAGGCUUCAAGUCUUCCCAGCUGAGAGCCCAAAUUACAGCACAGAGAUAAGCUCUCUCUCUCUGAAUAUGUGGGUAUAGUUGUAAAAAACCUUUUUUGUCUUGUUUUAUUUUUGUUGUUAAGUGCGGGGUAGUUUGCAUUACAGCAUUAGACACUGGAACACUGAAUAGAGUUUGCAUCUCACUGAAAACGUACAGAUGUUGUUCCUGCAGUUACUCUUGUAAUUCCCGUGGCCUCCAGAUAGAAGCCAGUUUUGAAGGUAGAUGUGAGAGAUCUUUCGUUUUUAGUAAACUAGAAGCAAGGAGCUAGGCGUCCGGGAGGGACAGGUGUUCAGGGUACCGGAUGUUGCCUGAAGAAACUAAAGUUUCUGAAAAGUGAACACGGCUGGUGGAAUCAGUCCAUUCCAAAGCCAGAUUCAAUGAGUAUACACUGAACACUGUGCUAAUAAGCACCAGGGCACCACGGUACUAAUGAGAGGACGAGAUGGAGACUACAUAGCAUUAAUAUAUCAGCUUUCCCUCCUGCGGCCAACAGGCUGCUUUUCUUUAUAUUUCCCACUCCGAGUUCUCAAGAAAGAAUGUGAUUUUUCUAGGCAUAUGCCACUGUCCCUUACUGGAAAGAAUUUUUAUAUUAAGCCACUCGGCCUACCAGCUAACCUGUGGAUUCUGUGCCUUGGGGUCGGGCAUCUGCCCUCCUCUAAGCUGGGAUAGAGCUGAUUGGAACUAUCUUGGGCUGAAUCGUAUCCCCUUAAAAUCCAAAUGUUGACAUCCUAACCCCUGGUAUUUUAUUUAGAAUGUCACUGUACCGGGGACAUGGUCUUUAAAGAGGUGGACAAGAUUAAGGUGAGGUUGUUAGGGUGGGCCCUCAUCCAUUCUGUCUGGUGUCCUCAUAAGAAGAGAAGGUUUGGAUGCAGAAAGAGACCAGGGGCACACAGAGGAGAGAGUGUGAGAACACGGCAAGGGGGUGGGCAUCUGUAAGAGAAGGAGAUGGCCGUAGAAGGAACCAACCCUGCUGACACCUUGAUCUUGAACUUCCUUGAUCCUGAACUUCCAGCCUUGAUCUUGAACUCUCCAGAACUGUGAGAAAUAAAUUUUUGUUGUUGGAGCUGCUGGGUCUGUGGUGUUUGGUUAUGGCGGCCCAGUGCACAAACACAAGAUCCCGGUGAAACUGCUCGCUUUGAGCUGCGGCCAGCCUGAACUCCCUUUGAAAGGGGCUCUGGGUGAGGCAGGCACAGGGCGUAUACGAUAGCCAGAUGUUUUCUUCAAACUUUAUAAUCCAUUUGUAGAAAGAAAGACUGGUAGGAAAACCAAUAUAUGAAAUUAGGUAUAAUUUAAGUGCUGUACCAUAUGAUACAGAAAAUUGUACAAUACGGUUGGUGUAUCUGCUGUAAGAACUUGGAGGAGGCAGAGCUCAGUGUGGAUUACAGCGGCGAGGGUGGAGUUUAUGGAAAUGACGGGAUGCAUACUGUUCCUUUUAUGCUGAGUGGGAUUUAAAGGGGUAUCAGGAAGGUAAAGAAGCACCCUGGAUACAGUAGGUGAUCAGUGUGAGCAAAGAGGCCGAGCAGAGGGUGACACAUGAAGCGUCAGUGCAGAAGUGGCCCUGUGCAGCGCAGACCUAACGUGCUGGGAACUCGUGGGAGACAGGGUUGGGCAGGCAGGGUAGGUGGACAUUAUAGGUGACUUUGGAAAUCAGGCCAAGGACUUAUGGUUCUUAGGGUUGAUCUGCUGGCACAAGUUACCCUUCAAGUAUCCCAGCAUUCACCAGCAAUGGUGGUUUUUUUUAAAUAUAGAGACAAGGUCUACAUCUAUUGCCCAGACUGGAACUCCAGAGA